rnacentral:rRNA from 1 species
AUUGAACGCUGGCGGAAUGCUUUACACAUGCAAGUCGAACGGCAGCACGGGAGCUUGCUCCUGGUGGCGAGUGGCGAACGGGUGAGUAAUAUAUCGGAACGUAUCCAAUAAUGGGGGAUAACUAGUCGAAAGAUUAGCUAAUACCGCAUACGCCCUGAGGGGGAAAGCUGGGGAGCUUCGGACCUAGCGUUAAUGGAGCGGCCGAUAUCUGAUUAGCUAGUAGGUGAGGUAAAAGCUCACCUAGGCGACGAUCAGUAGCUGGUCUGAGAGGACGACCAGCCACACUGGAACUGAGACACGGUCCAGACUCCUACGGGAGGCAGCAGUGGGGAAUUUUGGACAAUGGGCGCAAGCCUGAUCCAGCCAUUCCGCGUGAGUGAAGAAGGCCUUCGGGUUGUAAAGCUCUUUCGCAAGGGAAGAAAACUUAACCUCUAACAUAGGUUGAGGCUGACGGUACCUUGAUAAGAAGCACCGGCUAACUACGUGCCAGCCGCCGCAGUAAGAC